rnacentral:rRNA from 1 species
CACGGGGGGAGCAAGCGUUGUUCGGAAUCACUGGGCGUAAAGGGCGUGUAGGCGGUCAAGUAAGUGGAAUGUGAAAGCCCCCGGCUUACCCGGGGAUCUGCAUCCCAAACUGCUUGGCUUGAGUACGGGAGAGGAUAGGGGAAUUCCUGGUGUAGCGGUGAAAUGCGUAGAUAUCUGGAGGAACACCGGUGGCGAAGGCGGGACUCUGGGCCGAUACUGACGCUGAGGAGCGAAAGCGUGGGGAGCGAACAGG